GGUCAGGGAUAGCUCAGUUGGUAGAGCAUAGGAUUCUUAAUCUCAGGGUUCAAGCCCCACCUUGGGCA